AUACCUUUCUCGGCCUUUUUACUAAGAUCAAGUGUACUCCAACAAAACCUAUUCUCAAAUAUUUUUGCUUGACCAAUUAUAUUUUUAAAUAUAUUACGAGAUUAUUUAUUUUAGUGAGGGAAGAUCUGGAUAAUGACCUGUCAUUAGGGUCCUCACGUGUUGCUUGCGCUUUGCACUACAGCUCGAGCUUGGCGCGUCCUAA
rnacentral:snRNA from 2 species